ACGGGUGAGUAAUGCAUCGGAACGUGCCCAGUCGUGGGGGAUAACUGCUCGAAAGAGCAGCUAAUACCGCAUACGACCUGAGGGUGAAAGCGGGGGACCGUAAGGCCUCGCGCGAUUGGAGCGGCCGAUGUCAGAUUAGGUAGUUGGUGAGGUAAAGGCUCACCAAGCCGACGAUCUGUAGCUGGUCUGAGAGGACGACCAGCCACACUGGGACUGAGACACGGCCCAGACUCCUACGGGAGGCAGCAGUGGGGAAUUUUGGACAAUGGACGCAAGUCUGAUCCAGCCAUGCCGCGUGCGGGAAGAAGGCCUUCGGGUUGUAAACCGCUUUUGUCAGGGAAGAAAAGGCUCUGGAUAAUACCUGGGGCUCAUGACGGUACCUGAAGAAUAAGCACCGGCUAACUACGUGCCAGCAGCCGCGGUAAUACGUAGGGUGCAAGCGUUAAUCGGAAUUACUGGGCGUAAAGCGUGCGCAGGCGGUUGUGCAAGACAGGUGUGAAAUCCCCGGGCUUAACCUGGGAACUGCACUUGUGACUGCACGGCUAGAGUACGGCAGAGGGGGAUGGAAUUCCACGUGUAGCAGUGAAA
rnacentral:rRNA from 1 species